rnacentral:lncRNA from 1 species
UUAUAAUAUAGAGAACCUCGGGUUGACUGAGCUUUGUAUUUUUUCAUCCAGAGAAUUUGUCAAGAUGUAGUUACGUGCUUAAGACCCGGGAGGAAAUGCCAAGACUGAUGAGCACAGAAAACAGUAUGGUUCGAAAUGCAUAGAUAGCAAGAGGUCUAGAUAUUGACUCAUCAUUUUCUGCGCCAUUGCUGUUACGAAGGGAGAAAAAUCAAGUCCACAGAAAGCUGCAAAAGCCUAGUGAAGAAAUUCAGUAUUCUUCCCAUCUGAUGGCUCAAGUUCCUUUCAGUGGAAAACCAGCAUCCCCAAAUUUAAAAUCUAAAGAGAAAAAUGAGGAUCGCCCAGGAUGCCUGUGUUUAGAGGCUGUAAAGCGGACAACAGCAAGAUAUAAUCAGUGCAAUGUCAGCCUCACGGAAGAGUCAAAACUGAUUUCAUUUUCAUUACAAGUUCUCGUCAAAGAAGAGGAUAACUACCGAUUAAAAUAA